rnacentral:rRNA from 1 species
AAAUUGAAGAGUUUGAUCAUGGCUCAGAUUGAACGCUGGCGGCAGGCCUAACACAUGCAAGUCGAGCGGUAGCACAGAGAGCUUGCUCUCGGGUGACGAGCGGCGGACGGGUGAGUAAUGUCUGGGAAACUGCCUGAUGGAGGGGGAUAACUACUGGAAACGGUAGCUAAUACCGCAUAAUGUCGCAAGACCAAAGUGGGGGACCUUCGGGCCUCAUGCCAUCAGAUGUGCCCAGAUGGGAUUAGCUAGUAGGUGGGGUAACGGCUCACCUAGGCGACGAUCCCUAGCUGGUCUGAGAGGAUGACCAGCCACACUGGAACUGAGACACGGUCCAGACUCCUACGGGAGGCAGCAGUGGGGAAUAUUGCACAAUGGGCGCAAGCCUGAUGCAGCCAUGCCGCGUGUAUGAAGAAGGCCUUCGGGUUGUAAAGUACUUUCAGCGGGGAGGAAGGCGAUAAGGUUAAUAACCUUGUCGAUUGACGUUACCCGCAGAAGAAGCACCGGCUAACUCCGUGCCAGCAGCCGCGGUAAUACGGAGGGUGCAAGCGUUAAUCGGAAUUACUGGGCGUAAAGCGCACGCAGGCGGUCUGUCAAGUCGGAUGUGAAAUCCCCGGGCUCAACCUGGGAACUGCAUUCGAAACUGGCAGGCUAGAGUCUUGUAGAGGGGGGUAGAAUUCCAGGUGUAGCGGUGAAAUGCGUAGAGAUCUGGAGGAAUACCGGUGGCGAAGGCGGCCCCCUGGACAAAGACUGACGCUCAGGUGCGAAAGCGUGGGGAGCAAACAGGAUUAGAUACCCUGGUAGUCCACGCCGUAAACGAUGUCGAUUUGGAGGUUGUGCCCUUGAGGCGUGGCUUCCGGAGCUAACGCGUUAAAUCGACCGCCUGGGGAGUACGGCCGCAAGGUUAAAACUCAAAUGAAUUGACGGGGGCCCGCACAAGCGGUGGAGCAUGUGGUUUAAUUCGAUGCAACGCGAAGAACCUUACCUGGUCUUGACAUCCACAGAACUUAGCAGAGAUGCUUUGGUGCCUUCGGGAACUGUGAGACAGGUGCUGCAUGGCUGUCGUCAGCUCGUGUUGUGAAAUGUUGGGUUAAGUCCCGCAACGAGCGCAACCCUUAUCCUUUGUUGCCAGCGGUUCGGCCGGGAACUCAAAGGAGACUGCCAGUGAUAAACUGGAGGAAGGUGGGGAUGACGUCAAGUCAUCAUGGCCCUUACGACCAGGGCUACACACGUGCUACAAUGGCGCAUACAAAGAGAAGCGACCUCGCGAGAGCAAGCGGACCUCAUAAAGUGCGUCGUAGUCCGGAUUGGAGUCUGCAACUCGACUCCAUGAAGUCGGAAUCGCUAGUAAUCGUAGAUCAGAAUGCUACGGUGAAUACGUUCCCGGGCCUUGUACACACCGCCCGUCACACCAUGGGAGUGGGUUGCAAAAGAAGUAGGUAGCUUAACCUUCGGGAGGGCGCUUACCACUUUGUGAUUCAUGACUGGGGUGAAGUCGUAACAAGGUAACCGUAGGGGAACCUGCGGUUGGAUCACCUCCUUACCUUAAAGAA